GUGCCAGCCGCCGCGGUAAUACCGGCAGCUCGAGUGAUGGCCGAUAUUAUUGGGCCUAAAGCGUCCGUAGCCAGCUGAACAGGUCCGUCGGGAAAUCUGCUCGCUCAACGAGCAGGCGUCCGGCGGAAACCAGUCAGCUUGGGACCAGAAGACCCGAGGGGUACGUCUGGGGUAGGAGUGAAAUCCCGUAAUCCUGGACGGACCACCGGUGGCGAAAGCGCCUCGGGAAGAUGGAUCCGACGGUGAGGGACGAAAGCUUGGGUCACGAACCGGAUUAGAAACCCCGGUAGUCC
rnacentral:rRNA from 1 species